AUAGUCUCAUCUAGGAUAGAAAUGAAGUUGUGAUUAGAAAUAUAAAGAGCUACAUAGACUCUAACAAUAAUAACCGUGGUUAAGCAUUUUCAGCUAGUGGUUUGGAUCCAAAGGGUAAAUUGUCCAAAAUACCCGAUAUCCCAUACCCGGCUCAUAUCCUAUCCGGACCCAAACCGAAUAAAAAUUGGAUAGCAUACGGGUAAAAAAAAAUUACCCAUUAAAGUUUUAGGUAUAUAUGAAUCCGGAUAUUUUAUACCUAUAUCUAACUUGGACCGGAUCCAAACCCAAUCUUUUAAUGGGUAGGGUCCGGAAUAGUUUUCAAAUAUGAACCUAGACCCGGUGAAAUACUAGAUAGUAAAUAAAAAAAUAUUAAAAUUAAGGGAUCAAUUUUAAUAGGACUUAUAGAUGAGGGAUCUCUGGGUAUUUUUAUCAUAGUGAAAACCUAACUGCCCUGUUUACUCUUUUUCUUCAAUUUUUCUUA
rnacentral:lncRNA from 1 species